GUCAGAGAACCCUCUACUGGGAUGUGAUGCAGGAGAAUUAUGAGGCUGUGAGCUGGCUGGGAUUUCCAGUCUCUAAAGCUCAUGUGCUCUCCUGGGUGAAGCGAGGGGAGGAGCUACGGAUCCCAGAUCUCCAGGGCUGUGAGGAAGGAGAGGUGUGUGACAUCCACACAGCAGGUGAUGGGAUGCUGAGUGAGAACCAUGAGAAGAAUCUUCAGCAAGAAGAACCAGCGUGAAUG